AUACGAAGGGGGCAAGCGUUGUUCGGAAUAACUGGGCGUAAAGCGCACGUAGGCGGAAUGUUAAGUUAGAGGUGAAAUCCCAGGGCUCAACCCUGGAACUGCCUUUAAUACUGGCAAUCUAGAGACCGAGAGAGGUGAGUGGAAUUCCGAGUGUAGAGGUGAAAUUCGUAGAUAUUCGGAGGAACACCAGUGGCGAAGGCGGCUCACUGGCUCGGUACUGACGCUGAGGCGCGAAAGCGUGGGGAGCAAACAGGAUUAGAAACCCCAGUAGUCC
rnacentral:rRNA from 1 species